rnacentral:tRNA from 6 species
GCCCGGGUGGUCUAGUGGUAUGAUUCGCGCUUAGUAUGCGCGAGGUCCCCGGUUCAAUCCCGGGCUCGGGCC